rnacentral:rRNA from 1 species
GACGAACGCUGGCGGCGUGCUUAACACAUGCAAGUCGAACGGAAAGGCCUUUUCGGAGGUACUCGAGUGGCGAACGGGUGAGUAACACGUGGGUGAUCUGCCCUGCACUCUGGGAUAAGCCUGGGAAACUGGGUCUAAUACCGGAUAGGACCGCACUUUAGUGUGUGUGGUGGAAAGUUUUUUCGGUGUAGGAUGAGCCCGCGGCCUAUCAGCUUGUUGGUGGGGUAAUGGCCUACCAAGGCGGCGACGGGUAGCCGGACUGAGAGGUUGGUCGGCCACAUUGGGACUGAGAUACGGCCCAGACUCCUACGGGAGGCAGCAGUGGGGAAUAUUGCACAAUGGGCGCAAGCCUGAUGCAGCGACGCCGUGUGGGGGAUGACGGCCUUCGGGUUGUAAACUCCUUUCGCCAGGGACGAAGCGUUUUGUGACGGUACCUGGAGAAGAAGCACCGGCUAACUACGUG